GAUGUUCACAAUGAGGAUACAAAGCUCCCUCUUCUGAUAUUUGGUUGAGGAAAAUUGCUGGCAGAAUCGAACCUAAAUAAAUAUUGCCAUCACUGAGUGA
rnacentral:snoRNA from 1 species